rnacentral:lncRNA from 1 species
GACUGCACCUGUGGCAUAUGCAAGUUCCAGGCUAGGGGCUGAAAUCAGAGCUGCACUGCUGGCCUACACCACAGCCACGACAACCCCGGAUCUGAGCCACGUCUGUGACCUAUACCACAGCUUGCAGAAACACCAGAUCCUUCCUUAAUCCACAGAGGCCAGGGAUCAAACCUACAUCCUCACGGAUACUGUGUCAGGUUCUUAACCCACUGAGCCACAAGAGGAACUCCAAACAAGCUGCUCUAAAGACUUUCUCAAUCCAAUAAGCAAGCAACUGCAUAAAAUAAUCCCUGCUGAAGAUAAACAUGUGAUUAAAAAAUUUUUUCAAACUAUAGGUGGUUACAAACCAUUAAGAAGAAGAGUUAGUAGACACAGCAAAGGAGAAUUUGCACCUCAAGAUUAGAAAUAUUAGAAAAACUUAAAAUAGAUUAUCAAAUAAUUAUGCACAGAAUUGAGCAGGAUUUUGAAAGCAGAUAUCCUAAUGAAAAAAAAAAAGAGAGUGGGAAUGGGAGUAAUAGGCACAUUUGGAAAAGAACCAAGUAGAAAUGAAAGAGAGAGACAAUUUAAUUAAGAAUUCAGUAGCUGGUUUAAAUAGCCGUUUAGACAUCGCUCAAGAGAGAGUUAGUGAGCUGGAAGAUUGAUCUGACAAAUCACCCAGAACACUGCACGGAGAACUGAAGAGUGGAAAAUACGGGCCAGCAACUAAGGCGCAUGAGGAGCGGAACACGAAUGUCCAAGAUUAAGUCCAACGGGAAUUCCAGAAAAAGGGAUCGGUGAAGAUAGGAAGGGGCGAGAUUCAAAGAGUUAAUGACCAACGAACGAUGUUCCAGGAGGGAAAAAAAAUGAUGAAUAUUCAAUUUGAAUAUUCAAUUUAAAGAAGUACAAAUCCUGAACUGAAUGAUUAAUAACACAUUUACACUUAGAUGCACCACAGAUCAACGGCAAAGAAAGGCAGCUAAAGAAAAUAGAAAAAUACAAGAUGAAAUUCCAGACCUCUCACUUAAAAGAUGUCAGAGGUGUAACAUGUGAUCGACGGGAGUGUGGGGGGAGUCCCCACUGUGGCGCAGGAUCAGUGGCAUCUCUGCAGCGGCAGGAUGCAGGUUCGAUCCCCAGCCCAGCGCAGUGGGUUAAAGGAUCUGGCAUUGCUGCAGCUUUGGCGUAAGUUGCAGUUGUAGCUGGGAUCUGAUUCCCUGGCCCAAGAACUGCAUGUGCUGCAGGGUGGACACACACACACACACACAAAAGUGUCGGGCCCUGAGUCAAAAAACCUGAUUCUGAAAUCCAGCUCUGCCUCUUACUCUGUACUCUGGAUAAAUACCUUACCUCUCUGGCUCUCGGCUUCUCACUCUGAUAAAAUGGACGAUGACUUCAGAUGAUUGUUGUGGUGCAGAUUAAAUGACAGGAGAUAGAUGUAGUUAUACGGCAUUCGACACACAUAAGCACUUUGAAAAUAUCAGCUGCUCUUAGUAUUAUUAUUCAAUCACCGAGCACAUUACAUACUGGUAUUGCUUAUGUUUCUACCUCCAGAGUUCAGGGCAGCCACAGCCACCAGGGGGCCGUGGGUGGGGGCGGGGGCAGAAGGAUGUCCCCAAAAGGAAAACAACAGAGAGGGGACUUUGUAUUAAACUCGGCCCAAACUCUGUCUUGACUCCUAAACCGAGCGUUUGUGCGGCAAACUCCAGCACAGCUAAGGCUAAGAAAACUGAACUGAGCUCUGGGCUUCCAUCCACCCCAGGAGUGACAGUGGCAACAGUUUGACCUCAGCCAACUUAAGUUCCUACUAAAACAAAACAAAGUAAAGUAAAGUAAAGUAAAUAGGAGUUCCCGUCAUGGCUCAGUGGAAACAAACCUGACUAGUAUGCAUGAGGACAUAGGUUCGAUCCCUGGCCUCGCUCAGUUGUUAAGGAUCCGGCAUUGCCCUGAGCUGUGGUGUAGGCUGCAGAUGCGGCUAGGAUCCAGCAUUGCUAUGGCUGUGGCCUAGGCUAGCAGCUACAGCUCCAAUUUGACCCCUAGUCUGGGAACCUCCAUAUGCUGUGCAAACAUAAAAAAAAAAAAGAAAAGAAAAGGCAAAAAUAAAUAAAUAAAUGAAUAAAAUGAAACAGAAAAAUCACACUCUUUGGAGACAUACAGCAGAAUCCAGAGAUAUUUACAGAACAUAAUAUUUACAAUAGCCAGGUUACAAUCCAAAAUUACUCAAUACACAAACAGAAAACAUAAACUAGCUAAAAGAGAAAACACUCAAAGCAGGAGUUCCCCUCGUGGUGCAAAGGAAAUGAAUCCAACUAGGAACCAUGAGGUUGUGGGUUCAAUCCCUGGCUUCUCUCCGUGGGUUAAGGAUCCAGCGUGCUGUGAGCUGUGGUGUGGGUCGCAGACACGGCUUGGAUCCCGAGUUGCUGUGGCUGUGGCGUAGGCUGGCAGCUACAGCUCUGAUUAGACCCCUAGCCUGGGAACCUCUAUAUGCCAGGGGAGCGGCCCUAGAAAAGGCAAAAAGACCAAAAAAAAAAAAAAAAAGACUGAAAGAACAAAUGUCCAUCCAGAACUUGACAUCCAUUGACAUACCCUUCGGGAAGGAUGAUGAAAUAAAGACACGGUCAGAUUGGAAAGAAAAAAGAAAAAAAGCACACACACAAAGAAUUUCCUUUUUAACACACCCUUUUUCCACACUGCCAGCAAAAGCAGACUGCAAGAAACGCUCAACCAAGUUCCACAGGCUGAAGAAGCGUGAUGCCCCUUAGUUUAUCUUCGAAAGGAAUUAAGACCAUUGAAAAUGGUAAAUAUGUGGGGAAAUUUUUUUUUUUUUCAUCUUUUUGUUUUGGGCCGCACCCUCGGCAUAUGGAAGAUUCCAGGCCAGGAGCUGAAACAGAGCACCGGAUCCUUAACCCACUCAGCAAGGCCAGGGAUUGAACCCCUGUUCUCAGGAACACCAGUCAGGUUCAUGACCGCUGAGCCACGACGGGAACUCCCUGGGUAAAUGUUGUUAAAACUAUUCUUCCUCCUAAUUUCUUCAAAAUAAUCAUGACGGUUUAAACCAAUACAAAUCAAAAACUGUAACUUCAUAGUGUACAACAUAUCACAUGCAGAUUACUAUAGGAUGAGAAUUAUAACAUAAAUCAAUGGAACUAUACAGCUGUCAGUUUUCAAUCAUGCAAAGUGGUGCAUUAUUAACUCUAAGUAGACUGUUUCUGUCUUCACAGCUAGUGCUGGAGGCCCUUGAAACCCUGGGACCAUGUCAAAGAACAGCUGAUGCGCAGCCAACACUUAAUAAAUAAAUAUUGGUUUCUGUAGAAAUCAGUCUCCUGAGACUUUAAUUACCUGGAUUCAAUUCAUGAGAGUCUAACAGACCCUGAGAGGCUGAGAAAAAUCUAGUUUCCACAGAAAGAAACGUGAGGUGUAGCAGCUCGCCUUUAUAAACGCAUGCCCUGGGACCUGCACCCAUAGUCUGCGACAUAAAGACGCCAAGACACUAAUUCACACAUCUUGCUUGCUUGCAAAAAUGAGAGAUCUUAGUUUCAAGACAGAACGCAGGUCAAAAUGAUCACAUAACUGCUAAAAUAAAAUGAAUUUCAACAUCCAAUUUAAAGUGCAUGAUGAGGACUUGGGUUUGACCCCUGGCCUUGCUCAGUGGGUUAAGGACCCAGGGUCAUGGUGAGCUGUGGUAUAGCUCACAGAUGCAGCCCAAAUCCCAUGUUGUUGUGGCUGUGGUGUAGGCCAGCAGCUGCAGCUCCAAUUUGACCCCUAGCCUGGGAACGUCCAUACGCUGUAGGUGCGGCCCUGAAAAAGCAAAAAAAAAAAAAAAAAAAAAAAAAAAAAAAAAUGCAAAGAGGUGCAGAGGGAAGAAAAAAACUCAUUGAAAAAAGGACGAAAUCUAAAUUACAGGGAUUUCAGACUUCCUGUUGUGGCGCAGAGGAAAACGAAUCCGACUAGGAACCACGAGGUUGUGGAUUUGAUCCCUGGCCUCGCUCAGUGGGUUAAGGAUCCGGUGUUGCUGUGAGCUGUGGUAUAGGCCGAAGAUGUGGCUCGGAUCUGAUGUGGCUGUGGCUGUGGUGUAGGCCGGCAGGUGUAGCUCCGAUUGGACCCCUAGCCUGGGAACCUCCAU